rnacentral:rRNA from 1 species
GAUCCUACGGGACGCAGCAGUGGGGAAUAUUGCACAAUGGGGGAAACCCUGAUGCAGCGACGCCGCGUGAGUGAAGAAGUAAUUCGUUACGUAAAGCUCUAUCAGCAGGGAAGAAAAUGACGGUACCUGAGUAAGAAGCCCCGGCUAACUACGUGCCAGCAGCCGCGGUAAUACGUAGGGGGCAAGCGUUAUCCGGAUUUACUGGGUGUAAAGGGAGCGUAGACGGUGCGCCAAGUCUGGCGUGAAAUGCCGCAGCUUAACUG